rnacentral:rRNA from 1 species
GUCUAUGGCCAUACUACCCUGAACAAGCCCUAUCCCAUCUGAUCUCGGAAACUAAGCAGGGUCGGGCCUGGUUAGUACUUGGAUGAGAGAUCACCUAGAAAGACCAGGUGCUGUAGAAG